UUGGGUCGAGGCAGUUCUGAGCACAGUGCACUGGGCUGCCCCCACUGCCUUGCUCAGCUCGAGUCCUUGUGCCCCUC
rnacentral:miRNA from 1 species